rnacentral:rRNA from 1 species
GUUUGAUCAUGGCUCAGAUUGAACGCUGGCGGCGUGGUUAAAGCAUGCAAGUCGAGCGAACCCGCAAGGGUGAGCGGCGAAAGGGUCAGUAAUACGAUCGAACGUACCCCGAGGUGAGGGAUAGCGGCGGGAAACUGCCGGUAAUACCUCAUGAUCUCUCCGGAGCAAAGGUUUACCGCCUUGGGAUCGGCGAUCGUCCUAUCAGCUAGUUGGCGGGGUAAAAGCCCACCAAGGCUACGACGGGUAGCAGGUGUGAGAGCACGACCUGCGACAUCGAAACUGAGACACUGUUCGGACUCCUACGGGAGGCUGCAGCGACGAAUCUUCCGCAAUGGGCGCAAGCCUGACGGAGCGACGCCGCGUGUGGGAUGAAGCGCCUUCGGCGUGUAAACCACUGUCAGGAGACGGAACCAAUGAUUGUCUCCAAAGGAAGGGGCGACUAACUCUGUGCCAGCAGUCGCGGUAAUACAGAGGCCCCGAGCGUUAAUCGGAAUUACUGGGCUUAAAGGGUGCCUUAGCUGAUCUGAAAGUGCUUUGUGAAAUCCCCCGGCUCAACCGGGGAACAGCGGGGCAUACUAC